CUCGUAAGAUUAUGUAUAUUGACCCUGCUGGUAAACACCUCUGCCAGCGUAAAACCCUCUUAAUUCGGUGGAACUCUCACUGAGACAAUACCGAGCGAAGCCUGUUGCAAUAACAGGAACGUGUAGAGACUAACUGUAAGGCCAAGCGGUCUGAAACAGAGGGAGGCGCAAGCCUAAGAUAUAGUCCGACCUACUAGGUGACUAGUAG
rnacentral:ncRNA from 1 species